UACAGAGGUCCCAAGCGUUGUUCGGAUUCACUGGGCGUAAAGGGUGCGUAGGCGGUCGGGUAAGUCUGAUGUGAAAUCUUCGGGCUCAACUCGAAGUCUGCACAGGAAACUAUCUGGCUUGAGUGUGGGAGAGGUGAGUGGAAUUCCUGGUGUAGCGGUGAAAUGCGUAGAUAUCAGGAGGAACACCGUGUGGCGAAGGCGGGUCUCUGGGCAGUUACUGACGCUGAGGAGCGAAAGCAUGGGGAGCGAACAGG
rnacentral:rRNA from 1 species